UCUGACGGAGCAACGCCGCGUGAGUGAUGAAGGUUUUCGGAUCGUAAAACUCUGUUGUUAGGGAAGAACAAGUACCGGAGUAACUGCCGGUACCUUGACGGUACCUAACCAGAAAGCCACGGCUAACUACGUGCCAGCAGCCGCGGUAAUACGUAGGUGGCAAGCGUUGUCCGGAAUUAUUGGGCGUAAAGCGCGCGCAGGCGGUUCCUUAAGUCUGAUGUGAAAGCCCACGGCUCAACCGUGGAGGGUCAUUGGAAACUGGGGAACUUGAGUGCAGAAGAGAAGAGCGGAAUUCCACGUGUAGCGGUGAAAUGCGUAGAGAUGUGGAGGAACACCAGUGGCGAAGGCGGCUCUUUGGUCUGUAACUGACGCUGAGGCGCGAAAGCGUGGGGAGCAAACAGGAUUAGAUACCCUGGUAGUCCACGCCGUAAACGAUGAGUGCUAAGUGUUAGAGGGUUUCCGCCCUUUAGUGCUGCAGCAAACGCAUUAAGCACUCCGCCUGGGGAGUACGGCCGCAAGGCUGAAACUCAAAGGAAUUGACGG
rnacentral:rRNA from 1 species